UUCUUCUUCAGAUUAAGUUCACUGUACAAGGACGUGAAGUUGUAAUUCCACUUGGACACGAUGCUGGUGACGAGAGAGAAAACUCCACUUGUCGGACGACGCAGCAUGUACUUGUUGCGAAAGAUGAAGGCUUGAUUUCAGACGAGGCAUACCAUGAGUUGAGGAUGGCCUUACCAGACGAGGAAAGAGAGAUUCUUCCGCCAAUCAGUGUUCUGAAACAGGAGAGGAACAGGCAAAAUGGGAUCAAUGCCUUGCAUUCAAUACCAGAGGAAAAGACCUCCGAGCAAUCCUACACAAACUGGAUCAUAAACCAAUCUUUGAGGGGACAAGUCAUCAAAGAAGGACAUACAGAGAAGUGAAGAAAUUAUGGAAGGGUUUCAGUGAUCUGGUGGAAGCAGUGGACCCAGAACCAGGCCAAGAAAGCUACAAAACACCAGAACAGUUCAAGGACC